rnacentral:rRNA from 1 species
UACGAAGGGGACUAGCGUUGUUCGGAAUUACUGGGCGUAAAGCGCACGUAGGCGGAUUUGUAAGUCAGGGGUGAAAUCCCGGGGCUCAACCUCGGAACUGCCUUUGAUACUGCAAAUCUCGAGUCCGAUAGAGGUGGGUGGAAUUCCUAGUGUAGAGGUGAAAUUCGUAGAUAUUAGGAAGAACACCGGUGGCGAAGGCGGCCCACUGGAUCGGUACUGACGCUGGGGUGCGAAAGCGUGGGGAGCAAACAGG